rnacentral:rRNA from 1 species
GAGUUUGAUCGUGGCUCAGAUUGAACGCUGGCGGCAUGCCUUACACAUGCAAGUCGAACGGCAGCAUGAUCUAGCUUGCUAGAUUGAUGGCGAGUGGCGAACGGGUGAGUAAUACAUCGGAACGUGCCCUGUAGUGGGGGAUAACUAGUCGAAAGAUUAGCUAAUACCGCAUACGACCUGAGGGUGAAAGUGGGGGACCGCAAGGCCUCAUGCUAUAGGAGCGGCCGAUGUCUGAUUAGCUAGUUGGUGGGGUAAAGGCCCACCAAGGCGACGAUCAGUAGCUGGUCUGAGAGGACGAUCAGCCACACUGGGACUGAGACACGGCCCAGACUCCUACGGGAGGCAGCAGUGGGGAAUUUUGGACAAUGGGCGAAAGCCUGAUCCAGCAAUGCCGCGUGUGUGAAGAAGGCCUCGGUG